UCUUAUUUUUCAAUUCCUUCAAUUUCCUUUCCUUACCAAGAGUGCACGAAAAAUGUCUAAAAGAGAUGAAUUUCCGUAAAAUAUUAAUCUUAGCGAAUCCUUAAUUUAUGAAUAUGCUCUUAUAAUGUUUAGUGAUUGAGAAAAAAAAUAUUAGUGUAAUGAACAUAAUGACAUUUAUACAUUUACGCUUUCUUACGGUACUGCGAUAUAGGACGUUGUGGAACCGCGGAAGGGCAAUUUCGCAUAUCGUUUAUUGUAGGCGCUGUGAUGAUCUGCGCUGACAAUAUUGCCGCAGCUAUACGUAAUUGCUGAGCACGGAAUUCAUGAUCGCUUGAAUCAUUUACCAGCUGCUGGCGUCGGUGGUAUAUUUGCGGCCAUUGCCAAAAUGGGUAGACCUGAGUUGAGGAAAAAGCUGUAGCCAUACGGCAGAGAAAGCCAUUCCGAAGGAGGGACGGCCUUUUGAGGAUAACGCGGGGAGUCUAGUAAACAAUAAAGGCGAAAUGAAAGAUUCCAGUAUAACUGGACCCGUUGCAAAAGAAUGUGCCGAUCUAUGUUGAUGUGCUUGCGCUCUAUGAAAUUUUUUCCUGUUGAAAGCUUGACGAGUAUACAGCCAAGUAAAUUGGGUCUAUGGCUACUGCCGUUGUUGCAGGAACCUUAUUUUCUAAAGAAGCCAAGCUGUGCGACUGCAGACGCCUGCACCCGCUUGCCUAUAUUCUGGUCGACCAUACGGCGCCUCAUGCCCGCGUAGAAAACUUCGUAUGUUUCCUUAAAUGCUGCAUGGACCUCUUAUAAAUGACAAUCAGUAAAGAUAAAUUCAAACUCACCGUUGGAAUACACUGAAUAUUGCGAGGAGGGGGGAGAGUGUACUGCUUAGAAGGAUGUAACAUUCGUAUCCUUUUCCUCCUUAAAGUUUUUCCUAGACAACAGUAUAAAUAAUAUGAAUCUGAGCAAAUUUGUUCGGUGCCUCACACCCCUGCUGCACGAGCUUGCUGUUCGGAAGAAAGCAACCCGCGACAUGGUGGUCGCCUGUAGGUGCUUGGCGAUGUUCGGCCCCACCAAAUAUUGAUGCUUGGCGGCGUAAAAAAUCUCGCAGGCGCUUUGAAAUGCUUCGUCCGUUUCUUAAGUUGGGAAUGCCGGCUUGAGUUUUUUUGAGAAUGGCGUUAAAUUAUCUCUUGAAUUUAACACAGCUAUGAGAACUGCUCCUCGUUUCUCUCUUCGAGUUCGCAGUUCAGUUUGUCGAUUACGAAGUAAUCGUCUUUUGGCCUGUAACCGCUGAACCAACUUGACAAUUGAAACUUCUUCAGUCUUUUUCGCUAUGAAAUGUUCUCCGGAUUACUGUUAAUCUUUUCGCCUGUCGUCACCUACAUGAAGCAGGUGAAACGUGUUAAAGGUGUACUCGGUUUAACGCCUACCCAGAUAUUGGUCAUAUUUUUUUUAUGCUUAUUUGUUUGAUUGGCUUUAAAAAUAACAAAGAUACAAUAUUAGUGAAUACUCUAAGAACUUGGUGCUGAGAGAAACUAAUGUUGCAUUAGGACUUCAAAGAGCUAGCGGAGAAUGGCCGGAGUUGGGAGUAGGUAAAAAUCCAGUUGGCGUGAAUUUUAUUGAAAACGAAUGGGAAGAAGUGAAAAGUAAAGUGAAUCGAGAUGAAGUGGGCAAGGUCAAUAAUCCGGGAAGUUCGCUUAUUUCUGUGAGCUUUCAAACAGCGAAUGGUAAAAAAAUCUCUAUAUCGGAAGAAAGCCAAAUAUCCGUACAAAAUAUUCUAUGAGAAUUUCAAGACAAUUUGCAUGAAACGAAUUAUGUAACUGAACUAAAAGACAUAAAAGCUCAGAUAUCGAUUAAAAGUAUGGAGUCCAAGUUGGGCAAACUGGAAACAGCAGUACGCAAAUAGCAAUCAAAGCAGGCUUUCAAUCGAUGUGCGAAAAAGGCAAAGAAACGUGUAAGCAUUCUUAUACAAUGAUUUUAAUCGCUGCGAAACGAAAACAAAAAUCAAUUUAAUGUAGUGUUCUUCCAAACAUUAAUUAACACCAGACAAUUACAAGAACAUGUUAUUGUAUAUUUAAUUUUAUAAUAAUACUAAAGAAUGCGAUAGUUGAAUGCGUUUGCUAAGCGAAAGGAAAAAUUAUGUGUAUUAUAAUAAGAUUUUGAUCUAUUUUCAAAAAUUUUUUCAAAACAUUACUCAGCAUCAGUGAUUUCAGCUUGCACUAGGCUUUCACUUUCAGCAUCUAAUGCGGAUGUGGCUUCGUCCAGCAACAGUACACGAGGAUUUCGAAUUAAAGCUCUGGCAAUCCGCUGUUUUUCGGGAGAGGUUAGUAGUGCCAGACUCGUCGUUGCUGCUCUUUUCUCUGGCACAAUUCAUAUUAUCUAUGACGUAAGUUGACUUCUCUGUCAGGGGAGUUGAUAAAGGAGAAGUUGGCAAACGUUCGCGAUAGGCGCUAAAAAGUCCUCGUAAUUUAUUUAUGGGCGUUAGCGGUCUUCACGGCUGAGAAGCAUGCAAGUAAAUGGAGUUUUUAUUGAAAAUGGAAUAGAAGAAAUAGGAAAUAAAGUUACCUUUAAAAUGCAUCAAGAUAAUGUUGGCUUGGAAAAAGAAAAAGACUAUGAAACUAGACUGGAAGAUAAUAAAGAUCGCCAGGGAAUUUAAAUUAAGAAAAAUUGCAGAGCAUUGCAUAAGUCGACAAAACUACAGGUUUUCAAACGGCUAAUGGCAAGAAAGUGCUCAUAUCUGAGAAAGGGAAAAAACCUGUGGAAGGCCUGCUAAACGAAUUUGAUAUUGAGAAUAAUUUGCUUUGUAUAAAAAAUAAAGUUAUUGCCAAAAAGCAAAGCAUGCUGUCUGAAAAAAAACUUUUAACACACCUUUAACAAGUAGGAAAGAAGACGAAUAUCACCCUAGAUGGAGCGGCAAAUUGUCCACAGACGAGAAAAAGCCGGAUAUAAAAGUGGAAGAAGAGAAAAGUGAAUGGGUUCUUACUUAAGAUAAUUCAAAGCAGUUUGCAUGUGUACAGAUCGAUGAUACACCAUGAUGAUGAAUCCAAACAAGCCAUUUUAAAUUUUCAAAAUACUUGGCAAUCUUUUAAACAUCGGGCAUUCGACUUCACAUGUUCCAAUGAUGAUUCAUAAAAAUCGCUUGUUGUCAUUAAAUCAAAAAAGAACAAACAACGAGCAAUCAGUGAAAAGGACUGUAUACUUCAAAAACGGCUCGAAAACAUUUUUUAUCGUUAUCCAAGAAGCUUAGCAAAGAAACUAACCAAACGUCGCGAGAUCAUUCGAGAUUUAAAAGACAAGAAUCUGCAUAUAUUUCUAAUAAUUUAAAGUCACCCAAUGAACUCUGUUAGACACACAAUAGAAAUUUAUUACAAACCGAGACUAAUUAAUUAUAUUAUUAGGCUACAAAAAAAGCCGUUUUUGAUUUGAAAACCGAAGUGCCUGUCUCUUUCAACGCAAUGUAUUAAAAUAAUUAUAAAAUAAAUUAAAAGUAUACUUUUUUAAGAAGUCCAAGAUUUGAUUAAAAUAAAAACUUCUUAACUAAAGGUGACUUUUAUUUCAUUUCAAAUUUAUGGAUAGCAAUGAUUGACCCAGGACCUCGUAAUUGACUCUUUUGCCGUGUUUU